AGUCCACAUGGCUUCUGUCCCACCAGUGCAGCCAGUGGCAAGGUUUGGCUCUUCCUUUUUGCUAUUUCAGCGUCAGCUCGUAAAAGUGGGCAGCUCCUCCUUUGAGCAGCUUGGGACGGCUCUACACAGGCGAACGUGAACCACAUUCAUCUUGAGAGAAUGAAGACCUACUGUGGAGUCUGGCAUCGUUCAUCUUGUCCCUAGGGAGGCAGUGUUGGCAGGGGAGCCCGGCUCCUCUACUCACAUAGUGUGUGACUUUCGCUGGGUUUCUUUAUGUUGAAGAGAGGACUAGCAGUGUCCACUGCCCAGAGCAAGGAAGAAUACACAAGUUAACAAAUGGAAAUCUCCUGUAUGACAGCCUGGCACACAACCAAAAGGAAUUCAAGAUAUGAUUUGUCAGAAUGCAGAUGGAAUAAGACUCACCAGCAGCCACACACCCUUAUCUGACAACCUCUGCUUAUGCUGAAGCUUGCACAAUCCAGGUUAAUCCCAGGAUACUUUGCUGUUUUAAGGAGAAUUCUACUAUUAGAAGGAGCCCAAAUUAGCAGGAAUACACAGUAUUUCCUUUCAGGAUUCAAUCAUAUGACCACAGGAGAAAUAAAUGGAUGGAAUUUAAUUUUAAUUAAAAAAAAGCAGGAAAGUAUUUUUUUUAAACAGAAGAUUUAAGCACAAUUUCUUAUAAUUUAAAA